rnacentral:rRNA from 1 species
UUGCAGUUAAAAAGCUCGUAGUUGAACUUCUGGUAGGAGUAAUUGUUCCAUCACUAUGUGUUGGUAACUGAUUGUCUCCGGCCAUCCUUGGGAAAAGCUCACAUGGCAUUAGGUUGUCGAGUAAGUUGUUCCCAUCGUUUACUGUGAAAAAAUUAGAGUGUUUAAAGCAGGCUUAUGCCGUUGAAUAUAUUAGCAUGGAAUAAUAAGAUAGGACCUUGGUACUAUUUUGUUGGUUUGCGCACCAGGGUAAUGAUUAAUAGGGACAGUUGGGGGUAUUCGUAUUCAAUUGUCAGAGGUGAAAUUCUUGGAUUUAUGAAAGACGAACUUCUGCGAAAGCAUUUGCCAAGGAUGUUUUCAUUAAUCAAGAACGAAAGUUGGGGGCUCGAAG